rfam:Ictidomys tridecemlineatus contig062656, whole genome shotgun sequence.
GGGGAUAUAACUCAGUUGGUAGAGAGUGUUUGCCUCACAUGCACAAGGCCCUGGGUUCAAUCCCCAGCAA